UGCUAUUGUUUGUGUUGAAGCCAGGGGGAUGCGGUUUUCCUUGUGAGGAUUUAUUGGGGAGCUAAAAUGCAGCCUCUGCCAUCGCAUCUGCACCACGGGAGGUGUGACCGGGUCUGAGCCGUGAUAAACCUGGGGAUCUAAAGCAAUAAGGUGCUGUUGGGACAAAAAAAAAAAACAAACCAAAAACCUCACCUGGACUCCAAACCCUCCUCUGCUGUUUUAUUGACUGGGGAAGAGGAUUUGGAUCCAGCCCAGCAGAAGGGCUGGCUGCCGUGGUGGGAUUGCUGCUCCUUGGACCGUGGUGGGCUGCGUGAGGAGCAGGUGUGGAUGGGUCUCAGUUACGGUGCUACGAGGGGCUGCGCUGCCCCCGGGGGAGCUGGAGCCAUCCCAGGAGGAAGAGGAUGGACGUCCUGCCACGGGUGUGCGCCAGGCUGCUCCUCCUGUCCCUGCUCUGUGCCACCAGCCUCUGCCAAAGGAGCAAAAAUAACCGCUGCGUGCUGUCCCGGGCAAAGAGCUGCACCGAGUGCAUCCGAGUAGACAAGGACUGCUCCUUCUGCACCGAUGAGGUGAGAACCUUGCAGGGGAGACCAGUGCUCUACUUCCCACCCUGAUGAUGGAGGGAUCAUAAAAUGGUUAGAGUUGGAAGGGACCUUAUAGAUCAUCUAGUUC
rnacentral:lncRNA from 1 species